rfam:Prevotella sp. CAG:1124 genomic scaffold, scf140
ACCUUUGCAACCGCUGAUUGGUUCACGCCACAAUGUGAUUAAAAGGGAAACGGGUGAAAAUCCCGUACAGUCCCGCUGCUGUGAGCUGUCAUUAUUGAGACCGACACCGCGCCACUGGCACGUCAAUUAUAGCCGGGAAGGCCGUCGGUCUUGGCACAGCGAAGUCAGAAGACCUGCCGUCAGUUAUGUUUAAUC